rnacentral:lncRNA from 1 species
UUUAGAGAGUGGCUAAAUGUGGCUGAAUGCUUUCUAAGGCCAAUUAUGACAUCAUCCCAGGAAAGGCCGUCUGUGCUAAUGGGGCCGCAUUCGCUCCCAUUAUGGUAAAUAAGCCCAUGUUUCACACAACGGUGCAAUAACCCCAUCUGGCUUGCACCAUUUUCUCAGAAUUUUUUUUUCCUACUGACUGUUAGCCAUGUGUCCAGGAUAUUCAAGCUAAUGAGUGCCAUGUUUCCUUCUGAACACAAACAGUUGAACUCUACAAUCGGGACUUGAUCAAAACUUUCAAGUCAGAGAGGUUAUUUUUUAAAAAUGGAUCUCAGUCUCCUUUUCCUGAAAUUUCCAAAUUGCUUGUAAUUUGGCAUCAUAGGAAAAAAUGAAGUUAAGCACAAAGGCACAAUUGCCGAGGAACGUGAUUCUCCGGAGCCGGUCACUGAGCCGUGCUGCGGGACAGAGACGGGGUGGGCCAGGCACCUUCUGCUGUGGGCCCAAGCCCCUGGGCUCAUUCCCUUCCCCAGUUGAGCUGUGUAGGUGGACUCACCCCAUCUCCUGUCCCAGCAAGCUGGGAAACAGCAGAGCUGCAUUUUUCUUUAGAAUCCUGAGAGACUGCCAAGGAAAAGGAUAAAGGAAGCAAAUUGAAAUUUAGCAUAUUUCAAAGGUGUCAAGGAUGAAAUGUGAAAGCAGAACCCUCCUAAAAGUGACGGUUAAGACUCAAGCAUAUUAGAUGCCCAGCAGCUCUCCCCACCUCUGCAAAGACGCUCCCUGCAGUGUGGAGAUGGACGGAGGGCCGGGGAGGGAGUUUGCAUGCAGCACUGUUCUCUCACUAAUAAAGAUGCAAUGCCUCAUGUUAGGUGGAGAUUUACUUGUAUUGAUGCAGAUUUACUGCUCCAAGAAAAGAAAAAAAAAGCCUUAUUGUAUGAUCAAAGCUAAUAAAAAAUAGGAA